CUGGGAGACCACAUGAGUAAUGGCAGAACACAUUGCCGCUUUAGAGGUCAAGUUUUUCUAGGUCCUUGCCUUCACCGAUGAUGACAUCGACAGGACUUUUGUGAGGUGGAAGGCUAUGAUCAUUGGUAAGAUUUUAUGAAAGGGUUUUCUCCUUGAUUUUAUGCAAAAGGAGCUCAGAGCUAGAUGGAAUGUGGAAAGCGACUUUCAUGUUUAG
rnacentral:lncRNA from 1 species